UACAGAGGUCUCAAGCGUUGUUCGGAUUCAUUGGGCGUAAAGGGUGCGUAGGUGGUGGGGUAAGUCGGAUGUGAAAUCCCGGGGCUCAACCCCGGAACUGCAUUCGAAACUGCCUUGCUCGAGUACUGGAGAGGAGACUGGAAUUUACGGUGUAGCAGUGAAAUGCGUAGAUAUCGUAAGGAAGACCAGUGGCGAAGGCGAGUCUCUGGACAGUUACUGA
rnacentral:rRNA from 1 species